rnacentral:lncRNA from 1 species
CGUCUCGCAUACGCCCGAUACCGACAUAAGGGUUAGGGCCGUUAGGCCCAAUAAAAGAUUAAAAGGUGAUAUAAUCCAAAAGCUCAAAAAUAUCAGAGGAGGAAGUGAAGAAGUGAUAUGAAAGAGCAGAAAUGCUGAGACGCAAACCAACCAAGAUCGAACUCAAAAUCGAAGACAAAGAAGAACUCGAAGAAGCUCGUCAACGCGCCGCCGCCACAACCACCGCCGCCUCCACCGUCCUCAGCCACCUCGACCGCUCCAAAGACCCCUCCUCCAAAACGCACCGCAUCAUCGG